UGGCUCAGAUUGAACGCUGGCGGCAGGCCUAACACAUGCAAGUCGAGCGGCAGCACGGGUACUUGUACCUGGUGGCGAGCGGCGGACGGGUGAGUAAUGCCUAGGAAUCUGCCUGGUAGUGGGGGAUAACGCUCGGAAACGGACGCUAAUACCGCAUACGUCCUACGGGAGAAAGCAGGGGACCUUCGGGCCUUGCGCUAUCAGAUGAGCCUAGGUCGGAUUAGCUAGUUGGUGAGGUAAUGGCUCACCAAGGCGACGAUCCGUAACUGGUCUGAGAGGAUGAUCAGUCACACUGGAACUGAGACACGGUCCAGACUCCUACGGGAGGCAGCAGUGGGGAAUAUUGGACAAUGGGCGAAAGCCUGAUCCAGCCAUGCCGCGUGUGUGAAGAAGGUCUUCGGAUUGUAAAGCACUUUAAGUUGGGAGGAAGGGCAGUAAAUUAAUACUUUGCUGUUUGACGUACCGACAGAA
rnacentral:rRNA from 1 species